rnacentral:rRNA from 1 species
AUGAACGCUAGCUACAGGCUUAACACAUGCAAGUCGAGGGGCAGCAUGGUCUUAGCUUGCUAAGACUGAUGGCGACCGGCGCACGGGUGAGUAACACGUAUCCAACCUGCCGUCUACUCUUGGACAGCCUUCUGAAAGGAAGAUUAAUACAAGAUGGCAUCAUGAGUCCACAUGUUCACAUGAUUAAAGGUAUUCCGGUAGACGAUGGGGAUGCGUUCCAUUAGAUAGUAGGCGGGGUAACGGCCCACCUAGUCUUCGAUGGAUAGGGGUUCUGAGAGGAAGGUCCCCCACAUUGGAACUGAGACACGGUCCAAACUCCUACGGGAGGCAGCAGUGAGGAAUAUUGGUCAAUGGGCGAGAGCCUGAACCAGCCAAGUAGCGUGAAGGAUGACUGCCCUAUGGGUUGUAAACUUCUUUUAUAAAGGAAUAAAGUCGGGUAUGCAUACCCGUUUGCAUGUACUUUAUGAAUAAGGAUCGGCUAACUCCGUGCCAGCAGCCGCGGUAAUACGGAGGAUCCGAGCGUUAUCCGGAUUUAUUGGGUUUAAAGGGAGCGUAGAUGGAUGUUUAAGUCAGUUGUGAAAGUUUGCGGCUCAACCGUAAAAUUGCAGUUGAUACUGGAUAUCUUGAGUGCAGUUGAGGCAGGCGGAAUUCGUGGUGUAGCGGUGAAAUGCUUAGAUAUCACGAAGAACUCCGAUUGCGAAGGCAGCCUGCUAAGCUGCAACUGACAUUGAGGCUCGAAAGUGUGGGUAUCAAACAGGAUUAGAUACCCUGGUAGUCCACACGGUAAACGAUGAAUACUCGCUGUUUGCGAUAUACGGCAAGCGGCCAAGCGAAAGCGUUAAGGAUUCCACCUGGGGAGUACGACGGCAACGGCGAAAAUAAAAGGAAUUGACGGGGGCCCGCACAAGCGGAGGAACAUGUGGUUUAAUUCGAUGAUACGCGAGGAACCUUACCCGGGCUUAAAUUGCAGAUGAAUUACGGUGAAAGCCGUAAGCCGCAAGGCAUCUGUGAAGGUGCUGCAUGGUUGUCGUCAGCUCGUGCCGUGAGGUGUCGGCUUAAGUGCCAUAACGAGCGCAACCCUUGUUGUCAGUUACUAACAGGUCAUGCUGAGGACUCUGACAAGACUGCCAUCGUAAGAUGUGAGGAAGGUGGGGAUGACGUCAAAUCAGCACGGCCCUUACGUCCGGGGCUACACACGUGUUACAAUGGGGGGUACAGAGGGCCGCUACCACGCGAGUGGAUGCCAAUCCCAAAAACCUCUCUCAGUUCGGACUGGAGUCUGCAACCCGACUCCACGAAGCUGGAUUCGCUAGUAAUCGCGCAUCAGCCACGGCGCGGUGAAUACGUUCCCGGGCCUUGUACACACCGCCCGUCAAGCCAUGGGAGCCGGGGGUACCUGAAGUGCGUAACCGCGAGGAGCGCCCUAGGGUAAAACUGGUGACUGGGGCU